rnacentral:misc_RNA from 1 species
GAUCAUUACAGAAUUUUGAGAAUUGUGCUUAACUGCACUUUUCUUAUCUACACACGUGUUUUUGUUUUAUUCUUAAAACUUGCUUUGGCAGUGGCUGCUUAAUUGCUCUGCUGCCAGAGGAUAAACUCAACCUAAAUUUUUUAUUUUAAACUAGUCAACUGAUUAUAUUUAUUAAUAGUCAAAACUUUCAACAACGGAUCUCUUGGUUCUCGCAUCGAUGAAGAACGCAGCGAAAUGCGAUAAGUAAUAUGAAUUGCAGAUAUUCGUGAAUCAUCGAAUCUUUGAACGCACAUUGCGCCCUCUGGUAUUCCGGAGGGCAUGCCUGUUUGAGCGUCAUUUCUCCCUCAAACCCCCGGGUUUGGUGAUGAGCAAUACGCCAGGUUUGCUUGAAAGUUAGGAGGAGUAUUUAUAACAAUGUAUUAGGUCUAACCACUCCAUUGUGCUUAAUAAAAGCUCCAAUCUAUAUUUCAAACUUCGACCUCAAAUCAGGUAGGAUUACCCGCUGAACUUAAGCAUAUCAAUAA